rnacentral:rRNA from 1 species
GAAUUUUUCCACAAGGGGGAAAAGCCUGAUGCAGCAACGCCGCUUGAAGGAAGACGGCCUUCGGGUUGUAAACCUCUUUUAGCAGGGAAGAAGCGAAAGUGACGGUACCUGCAGAAAAAGCGCCGGCUAACUACGUGCCAGCAGCCGCGGUAAUACGUAGGGCGCAAGCGUUAUCCGGAAUUAUUGGGCGUAAAGAGCUCGUAGGCGGUUUGUCGCGUCUGCUGUGAAAUCCCGAGGCUCAACCUCGGGUCUGCAGUGGGUACGGGCAGACUAGAGUGCGGUAGGGGAGAUUGGAAUUCCUGGUGUAGCGGUGGAAUGCGCAGAUAUCAGGAGGAACACCGAUGGCGAAGGCAGAUCUCUGGGCCGUUACUGACGCUGAGGAGCGAAAGGGUGGGGAGCAAACAGGCUUAGAUACCCUGGUAGUCCACCCCGUAAACGUUGGGAACUAGUUGUGGGGUCCAUUCCACGGAUUCCGUGACGCAGCUAACGCAUUAAGUUCCCCGCCUGGGGAGUACGGCCGCAAGGCUAAAACUCAAAGGAAUUGACGGGGACCCGCACAAGCGGCGGAGCAUGCGGAUUAAUUCGAUGCAACGCGAAGAACCUUACCAAGGCUUGACAUAUACGAGAACGGGCCAGAAAUGGUCAACUCUUUGGACACUCGUAAACAGGUGGUGCAUGGUUGUCGUCAGCUCGUGUCGUGAGAUGUUGGGUUAAGUCCCGCAACGAGCGCAACCCUCGUUCUAUGUUGCCAGCACGUAAUGGUGGGAACUCAUGGGAUACUGCCGGGGUCAACUCGGAGGAAGGUGGGGAUGACGUCAAAUCAUCAUGCCCCUUAUGUCUUGGGCUUCACGCAUGCUACAAUGGCCGGUACAAAGGGCUGCAAUACCGCGAGGUGGAGCGAAUCCCAAAAAGCCGGUCCCAGUUCGGAUUGAGGUCUGCAACUCGACCUCAUGAAGUCGGAGUCGCUAGUAAUCGCAGAUCAGCAACGCUGCGGUGAAUA